rnacentral:lncRNA from 1 species
GUGUAUUGUAUGGCCGCCAAUUUGCUGACCCGUGGACUCGUGAGCUUAGGGAAACGAGUUGAACCAGAUCAGCUACGCUAGUGGUCGAACUUCUGCUAACUCACCUUCACUCUCUGGCAGGUAUUACUUCUAAAUUUCUGUCUGUAUGUUGUUUUGUCCUUUUACGGCUGCUUAUUUACCUAUUGAUCAGUGUUUGCUUUCUAGAGCAUGUUGUUGGUUUAGACGAAAAUUUUUGGUUUAAAUUCUGUGAAAAUCAUGCUAGCUAUCUGCUAAGUUCUGAAGGAUA